rnacentral:rRNA from 1 species
CCCCAGACUCCUACGGGAGGCAGCAGUGGGGAAUAUUGCACAAUGGGGGAAACCCUGAUGCAGCGACGCCGCGUGAGUGAAGAAGUAUUUCGGUAUGUAAAGCUCUAUCAGCAGGGAAGAAAAUGACGGUACCUGAUUAAGAAGCCCCGGCUAACUACGUGCCAGCAGCCGCGGUAAUACGUAGGGAGCAAGCGUUAUCCGGAUUUACUGGGUGUAAAGGGAGCGUAGACGGCUGUGCAAGCCAGAUGUGAAAGCCCGGGGCUCAACCCCGGGACUGCAUUUGGAACUGUGUAGCUGGAGUGUCGGAGAGGCAGGCGGAAUUCCUAGUGUAGCGGUGAAAUGCGUAGAUAUUAGGAGGAACACCAGUGGCGAAGGCGGCCUGCUGGACGACAACUGACGGUGAGGCGCGAAAGCGUGGGGAGCAAACAGGAUUAGAUACCCGCGUA